ACUCAAAUGAAUAGACGGGGACCCGCACAAGCAGCGGAGCAUGUGGUUCAAUUCGACGCAACGCGAAGAACCUUACCUGGGCUUGACAUGUUGGUGACAGCCGUGGAAACACGGUCUCCCUUCGGGGCACCUUCACAGGUGGUGCAUGGCUGUCGUCAGCUCGUGCCGUGAGGUGUUGGGUUAAGUCCCGCAACGAGCGCAACCCCCGCCCCAUGUUGCCAGCGGGUAAAGCCGGGGACUCAUGGGGGACUGCCGGUGACAAACCGGAGGAAGGUGGGGAUGACGUCAAGUCAUCAUGCCCCUUAUGCCCAGGGCUACACACGUGCUACAUUGGCCGCUACAGAGGGUUGCGAUACCGCGAGGUGGAGCGAAUCCCAAAAAGGCGGUCUCGGUUCGGAUUGGAGGCUGAAACUCGCCUCCAUGAAGGUGGAGUUGCUAGUAAUCGCGGAUCAGCAACGCCGCGGUGAAUACGUUCCCGGGUCUUGCACACACCGCCCGU
rnacentral:rRNA from 1 species